rnacentral:rRNA from 1 species
GGGGAAUCUUGCACAAUGGGCGGAAGCCUGAUGCAGCAACGCCGCGUGAGUGAAGACGGCCUUCGGGUUGUAAAACUCUGUCAGGAGGGGCGAAAAAAAUGACGGUACCUCCAGAGGAAGCCCCGGCUAACUACGUGCCAGCAGCCGCGGUAACACGUAGGGGGCCAGCGUUGUCCGGAAUUACUGGGCGUAAAGGGCGUGUAGGCGGCCUAGCAAGUCAGCUGUGAAACCCCCGGGCUCAACCUGGGGCUUGCAGUUGAAACUGCCCGGCUUGAGUGCAGGAGAGGAGAGUGGAAUUCCUAGUGUAGCGGUGAUAUGCGUAGAUAUUAGGAGGAACACCAGUGGCGAAGGCGGCUCCCUGGACUGCAACUGACGCUGAGGCGCGAAAGCGUGGGGAGCAAAC